rnacentral:misc_RNA from 1 species
GACAAACCUGGAGCACCUGGUGAACCAAAAGUAGGCACAAUCAAGAACACAUCCAUGGAACUCACAUGGACAGCCCCAGAAGAUGACGGAGGAAGCCCUGUGUUUAAUUACAUCGUGGAAUACCGUGCCCAGGGAGCCUUCAAGUGGAAGCAAGCUACCACUGAUACCAUUGAUGACACAAAAUAUACUGUGAAAAGACUCAAGGAGGAUGAGCUAUAUGAGUUCAGAGUGAGUGCUGAGAACAAGGCUGGUGUUGGACCAUCUGCUGAGACUGCACAACCCAUUAAGGCUAAGGAGCCAAUUGUUGGAACUCGCCCCAAGAUCUUGCAAGGACUUGACAGUGUGACAGUUAUAGCAACUAAUGAAGCUGUCCUUGAAUGUGAUGUGGACAUUGGUAAACCCCCAGCUGAGAUCAAGUGGUUCAAGGAGAACAAGGAAAUCUACAAAGGUCGCAAAUAUGAGAUCAGCUAUGCUGAUGAGGUUGCAACGUUGGUAGUCAAGAACACUGAGCCAAAUGAUGCUGCUAAGUACCGUAUGGAGGCUAGUAAUCCAUUAGGUAGAGUAGAGUCAUCAUGUAAGCUGACUGUCCAAACACCACCUGUCUUAGACUAUGAUACUAAACAGAAACCAAAGACCAUUAAAGGAGGUACCAGCCUCAUUCUCAAUGUAAACAUAGAGGGCAUUCCAGCACCAAAGGUCAUCUGGACCCUCAAUGAUGAACCAAUCAAAAGUGUCAAAGCAGUCACCAUAGAAACAGCAGAUUCUUACUCUACAUUAACUGUCAAGGGAGUCAGCAGUGACUUCUCUGGCAAGUUCAAGAUUGUAGCAGAGAACCCAGCUGGCAGUGCUGAUGCUGAAUUUGACAUCACAGUACAAGACAGACCAACUCCACCACAGAAUCUCAUUGUUGAGGACACCAAGAAAGAAUCCAUCACUGUCUCAUGGGAAAAACCAAAAUCUGAUGGUGGAUCAGAAAUCACUGGGUAUGCCAUUGAAAAGCGUGAUGCCAAACGAACCACAUGGACUCAUGUGUCCACUGUGGAUGCCAGAACAUUGACAGCAAAGGUGUCUAAGCUGACUGAAGGCAACCAGUACUUUAUCAGAGUAUUUGCUGAGAAUGUGGUAGGAGCCAGUGAACCUGCUGAGCUCAAGGAACCAGUUACAGCCAAAUUACCAUUUGACCCACCUUCUGCUCCCAGGAACCUGAAGGCAGAGAACAUCACCAGAGAGUCUGCCACACUAUCCUGGAAGGCACCAGAAAGAGAUGGAGGUGCAAAGAUACGUGGCUACAUCAUCGAGAAGCGUCAAGCCAAGAGCACACGCUGGAGUCGCGUCAACAAGAGCUUAGAGGUGCAGACAUUGUACACCCUAACUGACCUGUAUGAAGGGGAGAACUACGAGUUCAGAGUACUGGCCGAGAAUGAUGCUGGAAUCAGCCCUGCCUCUGAGUCAGUCUCCUUCAAAGCAAAGAACCCAUAUGAUAAACCCGGUCAACCUGGUAGACCUGUCGUAUCUAUUGACAAAGACACCGCAAAUGUUACCUGGACACCACCCCAAGAUGACGGUGGCGCUAAGAUCACAAAUUUCAGACUUGAAAUGCGUCGUUCUGGCGAUUUCAAAUGGAUGCCAGUGAAUAUGGACGAGAGGAUCCCUGGUACAAAUUUCUUGGUGGGAGGGCUAAAAGAGGGCGUGGAUUACGAAUUCCGCGUAACGGCCGAGAACAAGGCCGGCCUCGGAGAGCCAUCGCAACCAUCAGAACUCUUCAAGUACCCUCCCCGAUUCAUAAAGCAACUUCCAGAAUGGAUAGAGCUCCAUGAAGGGCAAAACCUACAGCUUGACUGUCGCAUACGAUUUGCUCCCUAUUUCAUUGUACCCCUACCCGAUGCUAUUGAGGUGCGUGAGGGAGAUACAGUUCGACUUGACUGCAGAAUAUGGGGCAUAGCUGGUGUUCCUGGUUCAGGAGAAGAGGAGAUCAUCAACAUAGUGAAACCACUAGAAAACAUUUCGCUGAAGGAGCUACCAGCAGACGCUACCUUUACUUGCGAGCUAUCCAAGGCCAAUGUACCAGUACAAUGGUUGAAGAAUGGCAAGCCUCUGAAGAGGACAGACAAGCCAGAGGCCUCUAUGGAUGGACGUGUCCAUACACUAACUAUACCAAAUGUGGAUGUGGAUGACAUUGCAGAGUACACUGUUAAAGUGAAGGAGAAACAAUCUGAUGCUAAGCUGGACAUCAAAGCUGCUCCUAAGUUCCUUACUGACAAGAAGUUUAAGGAGAAGAUUACUCUGAAGGCUGGAGCUUCUACUGUUAUUGAAAUACCAUAUGCUGCCAGUCCAGAACCAAAGGUGACAUGGAAAUACAAAGACAAGGCACUGCCAGAUGCCAGAAGGUUCACCACAGACACCAUCAAGACUAUGACCACACUAAGGAUGGCCAGAGUGGAGAGAUCCGAUGCUGGCAAGUACACAUGUACUCUUGAGAAUGAACAUGGAUCAGUGAAACUGGAAAUCAAACUCAUUGUACUAGACAAGCCCACAAUGCCUAAGAACCUGAAUGUGACUGACGUAUCAGAAACACAGGUGAGCCUGAAGUGGGAGGAGCCUGAACAUGACGGGGGCUCUGACAUCAUGCACUACAUCGUUGAGAGCAGAGAGGCCUAUAAACGCUCCUGGCAGUCUGUAGAGACCACCUCUGAGAGACACAGCACAGCUGGCAGGCUGAAUGAAGGCACGCAGUACGUUUUCAGAGUCGCGGCUGAAAACUCUGUAGGAGUUGGAGAAUUCAACGAGCUAACUCAGUCUGUUACUGCCAAGAGUAAACAUGGUGUGCCCAGCCCACCAUCAGCACCUAAGGUGAAUGAUAUCACAAGCAAAUCCUGCUCAUUAUCAUGGGAGCCCCCUGCUAACGAUGGUGGUACCCCUGUGAUUGGCUACCAUAUAGAACGUCGCUCAACCAAGAGCAUCCACUGGAUCAAGGUAUCCAGAGAGCUUGUGAAGACAACUACUUAUGAAGCCACUGAACUAAGAAAGGACACUGAAUAUGACUUCAGAAUCAUAGCUGAAAAUAAGGUUGGUGUCAGUGAACCAAGUCAACCUUCUGCUAAAUUUGUAGCCAAGGACCCAUGGGAUAUUCCAGGCCCCCCUGGUGUACCUGAGAUCAGCAAUGUUACCAACACUACUGCACAUCUCACAUGGACAGCUCCAAAGAAUGAUGGAGGCAGUCCCAUUAUCAACUAUGUGGUUGAAUUCCGUGCCCAAGGUGCCUUCAAAUGGAACAAGGCUACUGAGGUGAAUAUAGUUGACUGUGAAUACACUGUGAAGAAACUCAAGGAAGACCAGAUGUAUGAGUUCAGAGUGAGUGCAGAGAACAAGGCUGGUGUAGGUGCUCCUGCUGAGUCCUCCCAAGCUGUCAAGGCAAAGGAGAUUAUUAAGGGUGACCCACCAAAGAUAGUCAGAGGCAUCAAAGACACAACAGCUCUUUGCCCUGAUACAGUGAAACUUGAAUGCAAUGUAAAUCUAGGCAAGCCCAAAGCUGAAAUCCACUGGUUUAAACAAGCCAAGGAGAUCUACAAAGGUCGCAAGUAUGAUAUGGAGUAUGCAAAUGGUACAGCUACAUUGAUUAUCAAUGACACUGAGCCAUCUGACACUGCCAAGUACAGAUGCGAGGCAAUGAAUCCUAUCGGUAAAUGUGACACCACUGGCUCACUGACCAUUCACUGUGAGCCCAUCAUUGACUAUGAGCCUUCACAAGAAAGCCAGAACAUCAAGGGUGGAGCCAGUCUUAUGCUCCAUGCUAACUUUGAGGGUAUUCCAACCCCAACUGCUUCCUGGUUCUUCAACGACACCCCUCUAGAGAAAUCUAAGAGCGUCGUGAUUGAUACAAGUGACACCUAUACUAGUAUAACUGUACGUGGUAUGUCCAAAGAGAAUGCUGGUAAAUACAAAGUGGUUGCUGAGAACAAAGUUGGCGUAGAUGAAGCUACAUUCACUGUAAAUGUAACAGAUAAACCUGGUGCCCCAGUUAACCUUAAAGUUACUGAGGUCACUAAAGAAACCAUAACAGUAGAAUGGGAAGCCCCUGAAGACAAUGGUGGCUCUGAGAUAACUGGUUACGCUAUCGAGAAACGAGAUGCCAAGAGAAACACAUGGGCUGGUGUAGGCAACACUAAAUCUAAUGUCCACACCUUUACUGUUCCCAAACUAGUCGAGGGUAACAGUUAUUACAUUAGAGUGUUCACAGAAAAUGCCAUAGGAGCUAGUGAACCUGCAGAAACUAAAGAUGCCACCAUAGUCAAACUGCCAUUCAAUGAGCCAGGCCCACCACGUGACCUAACUGCCAAUGACAUCAACAAGAACUCAGCCACUCUAACCUGGAAAGCUCCUUCCUCAGAUGGAGGAGCUAAGAUCAAGGGUUACAUCAUUGAGAAGCGCCAAGCCUUCAGUACAAGAUGGGUGAGAGUUAACCGUCAUUUGGAGAAGAACACAGAGCUCUAUCUUGAUGACCUGGUCAAUGGAGAGGAAUAUGAAUUUAGAGUAAUGGCUGAGAAUGAGGCUGGCAUCAGUCAACCUGCCAAGACUAUCACAUUUACUGCAAAACCACCAUUCGAGAAACCUGGCCCACCAGGAAGACCCGAGGUGUCCCUAACUAAGGGCCAAGCUGAGUUGGCCUGGAGCGCACCUCUAGAUGAUGGCCGCAGCCCCAUCUUUAACUAUCGUAUUGAAAUGAAGGAAGCAUUCAGCCUAAGCUGGACAGGAGUCAACCCUGACAAAAAGUGUAAGAAUACAUCCUGGACAGUGGAAAACCUGAAGGAAGACACAGAGUAUGAAUUCAGAGUGACCGCUGAAAACAAGGCUGGUUUUGGACAACCUUCACCCUCAUCUGCCACUGCUAAAUAUGAAGAGGUAGUUGAGUUCACUAAGAAACUGGAAGAUGUUACAUUGAAGACACUUCCCAAUGAUGCUGUCUUUGAAUGUGAACUCUCCAAAGCUAACUGUGAAGUACAAUGGUUCAAAGAUGGAGAGAAACUACGACCAAGCAAGAAAUAUGAGAUUGAAACUAAUGGAAAAUACCAAUCAUUAGUUGUGAAAGAUUCCCAACCAGAAGAUGUAGCUGAAUACAUGAUCAUAUACAAGAAUAAGAAAUGUAGUGCCACCUUGGACAUUGUAGCUCCCCCAACAUACACCUUAGAUGAGAAAUUUAAGGAGACCAUUGUCCUUACAGUUGGCUCAUCAAUGGUUGUUGAGAUUCCAUUUGCUGGAGCCCCUCAACCUAAGGUAGCCUGGACACUGAAUGGUAAAUCCCUAGCUGAGACUAAGAGAGUCAGUACUGAAACAAUCAAGAACAUGACUGCCCUUACUAUGUCCAAAGUCCAGAAGAAGGAUGGCGGGAAGUAUGGCUUAAAACUAACCAACAAGAUUGCAUCAGUUGAUAUCACCAUCAAGGUGCAGGUAUUGGACAAACCAUCUGCUCCAAGGGACUUUGAAGUGACGAGUGUGAAUGAGACAAGUAUUGGUCUUAAAUGGACUGAACCUUCUGAUGAUGGUGGUGCCAAGAUCAUAGACUACAUCCUUGAAAACAGAGAAGGAUCCCGUCGCAGCUGGAACAAAGUGGAGAAAACAACCAAAACUGAGACAAAAGCUACACAUCUUACCGAAGGCAGUCAGUAUGUAUUCCGUGUAGCAGCUAGAAAUGAGGUAGGAGUUGGUGAAUUUAUGGAGCUAUCUCAGUCUGUCACAGCUAAGAGUCCACAUGGUGUACCAAUGCCACCAGGUACGCCAAGAGUAAGUGAUGUCCUAGCUAAAUCAUGCACCCUUACAUGGGGUCCAUCACCUGAUGAUGGAGGCACCCCUGUGAUUGGCUACCAUAUUGAGCGACGCACUGGCAUGAGUAUGCGAUUCACUCAAAUCUCAAAGGAACUUAUCACUGAUAUGACCUACCAAGUGAAAGAUCUCAUUGAAGGCAGCGAUUAUGAAUUCAGAAUCAUUGCUGAGAACAAGAUUGGCCAGAGUCAGCCUAGUGAGCCAUGUCCACAAUUUAGAGCCAAGAACCCAUGGGAUAUACCAGGUAGACCAGGCACACCUAAGGUUGGGGAAAUCACCAAUACAUCAGUGAGCCUUACAUGGGGUGCCCCUGAUGAUGAUGGUGGUGCACCUAUCACUGGUUACAUGGUAGAAUACAAGAGCCAAACUGCAUUCUCAUGGAAUGCAGCACAUAAAGACACAAUAGACGAGAGAUCAUUCACUGUAAAAGAUCUAAAGGAAGACAAGCUCUAUGACUUCAGAGUUAUGGCUGUCAACAAAGCUGGAACAGGUCCUCCUGCAGCCACUGCUCAACCUGUUAAGGCUAAGGAAAUCAUCAAGGGAGACCCACCUAAAGUCAUCACGCCUCUCAAAGAAACCAGUGUCAGUGCACCUAAGGAUGCAACAAUGACAUGUGAAAUCGACUCUGGCAAACCCAAGGCUGAUAUUCGCUGGUUCAAAGAUGCUAAAGAGGUGUACAAGAGUAGACGACAUGAGAUGUCAUACUCUGCAAAAACCGCUUCAUUGACCAUCUAUGAUACAGAACCAUCUGAUGCUGCAAGCUACAAAUGUGAGGCGUCUAACCCACUAGGACUUGUUGAUACAACAGCCAGAUUGAUCAUCCAAGCAGCACCUAAGAUUGACUAUGAACUUAGACUUAAAGAAAAGCAAGCCAUUAAGGCAGGCAACUCAUUGAUUAUAUCAGUGAACAUAAGUGCCCUACCCCCAGCAAAGGUCACAUGGUCUGUUAAUGGAAAGGAGCUUGCCCAGUCAAACAAGGUGAAUAUCGAGACAACAGACACAUUCUCAACUCUGACUGUAUCUGGUACAACCAAGGACAAUACUGGUAAAUACAGGGUUCUAGCAGAGAACAAGGUCGGCAGCGAUUCGGCUGAGUUUAAUGUACUUGUACGUGACAAGCCAUCUAAACCAUUGAACCUGAAAGUGACUGACACAGACAAGACCUCAAUCACUGUAACAUGGCAGGAGCCAGAAUCAGAUGGUGGAGCAGAUAUCACAGGAUAUUCCAUUGAGAAACGUGACUCCACAAGACCAUCAUGGAGCACAGUUGACACAGUAGACUCAAGGACCAAGAAAUUCAAAGUUGGUAGACUAGUGGAGGGCAAUAAUUACUUUAUCAGAGUGUUUGCUGAGAAUUCUAUUGGUGCAAGUGAACCAGCAGAACUAUCUACACCAACCACCGCCAAGCUUCCAUUUGAUGAACCAAGUGCACCAAGGAACCUAGAAGCUAAGGAUGUGACCAAGGAAUCUGCUAAGCUUGUUUGGGAGGAACCAGCCAAGGAUGGUGGAUCCCCUAUCAAGGGUUAUAUCAUUGAGAAGAGACAGGCCUACAGCACACGGUAUGUGCGCCUCAACAAAGCUCUCGUCACCAGAUGUUCAUAUAACAUAGAUGACCUUGUCCAUGGAGACGAAUAUGAGUUCCGUGUCUUAGCUGAAAAUGAGGCUGGAAUUAGCAAACCUUCUGACACAGUUGGCUUUAAAGCAAGAGCUGCAUAUGAGAAACCAGGUCCUCCUGGACAACCUGACGUUGAGAUGAGUGCAGACACUGCUAAACUGAAAUGGUCCCCACCAAUAAGUGAUGGCAGGUCCAAGAUCACAAACUACUUCAUUGAGAUGAAGAAGGAGCAUGACUUUAGAUGGUCUCCUGUCAACCAAGAUGUGACUGUUGCCAAGUGCCAGUACACAGUGACUGGUCUAGAAGAAGGGGAGGACUAUGCCUUUAGGGUUUCAGCAGAGAAUGCUGCAGGACGUGGUGAACCAUCAGGCUCAUCUAUCACUGCUAGAUAUGAAGAGGAAGUCACAAUCACCAAACAGCUUGAAGACAUAACAUUCAAAUCUAUACCAAACACAGCAACAUUUGUGUGUGAAGUAUCAAAAUCUAAGGCCACGGUUACCUGGUACAAGGAUGGUGUUGUGAUUACACCUAAUAAGAAGUAUGACAUCACAGUUGAUGGUGCUGUACACACACUAAAGGUGAAUGAUGCUGAUGGAGAAGAUGUUGGUGAAUACCAAGUGGCUACCAAAGCUAGUAGAUCCAAGGCUACUCUCAACAUUGAAGCUGCUCCUGAGUUCAAACUUGACUCCAAGUUCAAGGACAAACUAACAAUGAAAGCAGGAGCCUCAGCUGUCAUUGAGGUGCCCUUCAGUGGCAGCCCUCAACCCAAGGCAACCUGGAAGUGGAAUGACUCGAGUCUCCCUGAUACUCGUAGGUUCAAGGUGGACACCAUCCGAAACAUGACAUCUAUAAGCCUAGCCCGUGUUGAGAGGAAGGACCAAGGCACCCUUAGCCUGGUUCUUGCUAAUAAGAGUGGCUCAGUGACUCUCUCUGUGAAACUCAUUAUACUUGACAAACCAUCAGCCCCAAGAAACCUGGACACAAGUGAUGUGACAGAAAACUCCAUCAAACUGACCUGGGAGACACCCAAGGAUGAUGGUGGUAGCGACAUCACAUAUUACAUCAUUGAGAAGCGUGAAGCCAGUCGUAGAACAUGGCAACCUGUUGCAACUAGUAUGUCAUGCUCUUGCAAUGCCCAAAAACUGAUUGAAGGUAGUACAUAUGUGUUCAGAGUAGCAGCUGAGAACAGCUGUGGUGUAGGUGAAUUUACCGAGUUAGCCACUGCAGUUACAGCCAGGAGCCCCCAUGGUCUUCCCUCACCACCUUCAGCUCCAACUGUCAGUGACAUUUUCGCAAAAUCAUGCAAGUUGUCAUGGCAACCACCUGCAAAUGAUGGAGGAACUCCAAUCAUUGGUUAUUACAUUGAGCGUAAGUCUACAGCCAGUAAUAGGUGGGUCCGUGUCACAUCUGAACGUGUCACUGAUAAUAAACUCAAGAUGAAAGACCUAAAUGCUGAAAACCAAUAUGAAUAUCGCAUCAUUGCUGAGAACAAAGUAGGAUGUAGUGAACCAGGCCCAGCCUGUCCUUCAUUCAUAGCCAAGGACCCAUGGGGAGUCCCAGAUGCACCAGGAACCCCUCAGCCUACUGAAAUAACAGACACAUCUGUUACAUUGAACUGGAGUCCACCAGCAUCUGAUGGAGGCAGCCCUGUCACCGCAUAUGUGGUGGAAUUCAAAGCUCAGAGUGCUUUUAAGUGGAACACUGCCACAGAUGACACUACAAGAACAUCAUACACUGUGAAACGUCUUAGAGAAGAUGAGGUUUAUGAUUUCAGAGUUUCAGCUGAGAAUAUCGCUGGUAGAGGUGAACCUGCUAAAUGUGCACAACCCAUCAAAGCUAAGACUCCCAUUGUUGGUGAACCACCUGAGAUUGUUGCCCCAUUGAAGGAUACAACAGUUGUUGCACCUGGUGAAAUCACUCUCGAGUGUGGUGUUGUACUUGGUAAACCUAAAUCUGAAAUCCAUUGGUACAAAGAUGCUCGAGAAGUCUAUAGUGGUAAGAAAUAUGAGAUAGAUUAUGCUGCAAAAACUGCUUCAUUAGUGAUCAAGGACACUGAACCAAUUGAUAAGGGACGUUACAGAUGUGAGGUCGCUAAUGCCCUAGGACGUGUAGAUACAUCUGCCACACUUACAGUAAACAUCAAACCUAAGCUAGAGUUUGAUGCAAGACAAACAGAAAUGACUGUCAAAGCAGGAGCAUCAAUGAUUCUAUCUACCAACUUUGAGGGAGUACCAACACCCAAGGUAUCCUGGUACAUCAACGACAAACCCAUGCUCCAGACACCAAGAUUGAACAUAGAUUCAUCUGACUCAUACUCUACCAUCACAUUGAAAAACUGUGACAAGAAAGAUAGUGCUGUGUUCAAGAUCACAGUGGAAAAUUCUGCUGGAUCUGACACUGCUGAAUUUGAUGUGAAAAUAAGAGAUAGACCAUCCCCACCAAGUGACCUUAAGGUUACAGAAGCCACACAGGAUUCAGUGAGUCUUUCAUGGAAUUCCCCAGAAUCUGAUGGUGGAGCACCUAUAACUGGCUUUGUUGUCGAAAAACGAGAUUCAAGCCGUACUACAUGGACCAGUGUGAAGACUGUUGAAUCAACAAGUGUCACUGUCAAAAGACUCAACGAAGGUACCAGCUAUGUGUUCAGAGUGUUUGCUGAGAAUACUGUAGGAUCAAGUGAACCUGCUGAACUGGAGAAACCAGUAAUUGCUAAAUUACCAUUUGAUGCACCAAGUGAACCAAGGAAACUUGUAGCUGAAAACAUCACAAAUUCAUCCGCCACAUUGAAAUGGCGUGAACCAGAGAGUGAUGGUGGUUCUAAGAUUAAGGGAUACACUAUUGAGAAGAGACAGUCAUACAGCACACGCUGGACCAGGCUCAAUAAAUACCCCAUAAAGGAGACGACACACGACCUCAUUGACCUUAGCGAGAAUACUGAAUAUGAGUUCAGAGUUAUUGCUGAAAAUGAAGCUGGACCAGGUAAAUCAUCAGAAUCAGUUGCUUUCAAGGCUCAGAAUCCAUUUGAUCCACCAGGUGCCCCAGGACGGCCUUCUGUUGACAUCACCAAAGGUGUUGCCAAUCUCAAAUGGACUGUUCCAUAUGAUGAUGGCAGAAGUCCCAUAACCAACUAUGCAGUUGAAAUGAAGAAAUCAGGAGACUUAAGCUGGAGUACUGUAGAACCCAAAGUUAUUGGUACUGAAUUCAGUGUUCCUAACCUGAAAGAUGAAACCGAGUAUGAGUUCCGUGUUCUUGCACAAAACAAAGCAGGUCUUGGUGAUGCAUCUCAAACAUCCAUGUUAGCAAGAUAUGAGGAGCUGAUUGAGUUCAAGAAGGAACUAGAAGACAUCACACUGACUAGAGUACCUGGCACUGCUACAUUUGAAUGUGAGCUAUCCAAGCCAGAUAUUGCACUAACAUGGUACAAAGAUGGUCGCCCUGUAAGACGAGAUGGUAAGCACCAUAUUGAGGUUGAUGGCAAGAUCAACAGACUAACAAUCACUGAUGUUGAUGAUGAUGAUGUUGGAGAAUAUGCCGUGGCCAUCAAGUCAAAGAAAUCUACAGCUACACUCAAAGUUCAAGCCAAACCAAGACUGCUUACUGACGAAUCAUUCAAGGAGAAACUGGUGCUCAAGUCUGGAACAUCAGCUGUUAUUGAGGUACCAUUCAGCGGAAGCCCACAGCCCAAGGUCUCUUGGAAAUUCAACAGUGGAUCCCUGCCAGAUGCAAGGCGUAUUAAGGUUGAAACAAUCCGAAAUAUGACAGCAUUAACACUUUCAAGAGUAGAGAGAUCAGACUCUGGAGAAUACACACUGAAACUCUCAAAUGAGGGAGGAAAGGUGGAACUCAAUGUGAAGGUGAUUGUACUUGACAAACCACAACCACCACGUGGACUUAGUGUUACAAAAGUAACUGAAAGUGCAAUUAAUCUUGAAUGGAGAGAGCCUAGUGAUGAUGGUGGUUCUCCAAUAAGACAUUACAUUGUUGAAAAACGUGAAUCCUACAAGAGGACCUACAUCCCUGUUGAGACCACAGCAUACACCGAAUGCACUGCCUCCAAACUUACUGAAGGCCAGACAUACAUAUUCAGAGUCUUAGCUGAGAAUGAGUGUGGAGUAAGUGAAGCUAUUGAACUAUCCCAAGGUAUUGUUGCUAAGAGUCCACAUGGUUUACCAUCUGCACCAUCUACACCAAAGAUAUCUGAGAUAUUCAAAGAUUCUUGUGUAGUAUCCUGGCAACCACCAUCCACUGAUGGAGGAACCCCUGUUACUGGAUAUGUCAUUGAACGCAGAACAUCUGCCAACAUGAGAUGGGUAAAAGCUACCACUGAACAUGUUGUUGACACUAAAUUGAAGCUAUCAGAUCUGAUUGAAGAUAAAGAAUAUGAAGUCAGAGUAUUUGCUGAAAAUAAGGUUGGUUUGAGUGACCCAAGUUCUCCAUCUGUUCCAUUCACUGCCAGAGAUCCAUGGGAUAGACCAGGAAGACCAGGUCAGCCUAAGAUUACUGAGAUCACAGGCAAAUCUGUAUCACUGUCAUGGAGCCCACCAAUGAGUGAUGGAGGUAGUCCAGUUAUUGGUUACAUGGUUGAGUUCAGAGCACAAGGAGCUUUCAAGUGGAACAAGGCAUCUGAUGAUCGUAUCACAGAAACUUCAUUCACAGUGAAACGUCUACAAGAAAAUGAGGAAUAUGAAUUCAGAGUAAGUGCUGAAAACAAAGGAGGAUUUGGACCAGCUGCUGAGGUAGCACAAUCUGUUAAAGCUAAAGAACCCAUUGUUGGAGACCCACCCAAACUCAAGGCCAAGAUGAAUGAUGUUUCAGUCAUUGCACCUAAAUCAAUAACUCUUGAGUGCCCAAUGGAUCUUGGUAAACCCAAAGCAGAGGUCCAAUGGUUCAAGAAUAGCAGAGAAGUUUACAAGUCAAAGAAACAUCAGAUGAGCUACAGCAAUGGUAAAUCAAUACUUGUUAUCCUGGACUCUGAGAUUAAUGACUCUGGUGAAUACACAUGUGAGGCACGCAACCAACUUGGUCAUUGUGACUCCACCGCCAGUGUUGAGGUCAACACACAGCCAAAGAUCACAUUUGAUUGGAGAUUAGAAGGUCCACAGUCUGUAAAGGCAGGGUCCUCUCUCAUUCUAUCAGUCACGAUUGCUGGUAUACCAGUCCCAGAGCUAAGCUGGUACCAAAAUGACCAUCUCUUAGAUAGAACCAGUAAGGCUUACAUUGAGAAGGGAGCCACAUAUACAACUCUUACAGUGAAAGACACAACUAAGAAGGAUGCAGGCAAAUAUCGCAUUGUUGCUGAGAAUAAACAUGGUAAAGACAGUGCUGUGUUUGAAGUGAAGAUCAAUGAUAAACCAGCUCCACCAAGAAACAUGCACAUCAAGGACACUGACAGAGAUUCCGUAACAUUAGCAUGGUCAGAACCUGAAGAUGAUGGUGGCCAUAAGGUUACUGGUUACAUCAUUGAGAAGAGAGAUGCAAAACGACCAACAUGGACAUUUGCAGCUAGUGUGCAUGCAUCAACCACACAAGAGAAAGUCAAGAAUCUCCUUGAAGAUCAUGACUAUAACUUCAGAAUCUUUGCCGAGAACAAGAUUGGAACCAGUGAACCAUUUGAACUGAAGGAGUCUGUCACUGCUAAAUUACCAUUUAACCCACCAGGUGCUCCAUAUGGCCUGGAGGUUGAUGAGAUCACAGCAGACUCAUGCAGACUUUCAUGGACUGAACCAUCCAAAGAUGGUGGAUCUGAAAUAACUGGCUUCUAUAUUGAACGUCGCCAACCUUUCAGUACAAGAUGGGUCAAGGUCAACAAGCAACCAAUCAGAGCAAACCAUUACAAGAUUGGUGAUCUGGUUGAAGAACAAGAAUAUGACUUUAGAGUUGUUGCUGAAAAUGCAGCUGGAUUAGGUAAACCAUCUGAUUCAACUGGAACAUUCAAGGCAAGACGACCAUAUGAUGUCCCCGGAGCACCUGGAAUGCCUGAUGCCAGCAUCUCUAAGGAUGAGGCUACUAUAGUCUGGUCUCCACCUUAUGAUGAUGGCCGAAGCCCUAUAACUAACUACACCCUCGAGAUGAGAGUUGUUGGAGACUUCAGAUGGAAGACUGUCAACAAAGAUGAGGUACUCACUAAGACAACCUACAAUAUGACUGGCCUCAAGGAAGGAGAAGAGUAUGAGUUCAGAGUGUUUGCUGAGAACCGUGCUGGACAUAGUGAACCUUCUCUCAUCUCAUCUGCUGCCAAAUAUGAGGAGCAGGUAGAGUUCACCAAGAGAAUGACAGAUGUAUCUGUGAAGGAGAUAGGUGAGAGUGCCACAUUUGAUUGUGAAGUGUCCAAGGCUAAUGUACCAAUACAAUGGUUGAAGGAUGGUCAACUUCUCAGAUCUGCAAGCAACAAAUAUGAGACUAUUGAUGAUGGCAAGAAGCAUAAACUGAUCAUCAAGAAUGUUGAUGCUGAUGAUGCUGGAGAAUACACUGUCAUUGCUAAACAUAAGAGAUGUUCUGCUGCCCUAGCUGUACAAGCUGCACCAAGAUGUGUGAUGGACAAGGAUUACAAAGAUACCAUAAUCCUACGUGCAAACAAUAGCAUGACAAUUGAAGUUCCAUUCAUCGCAGCACCCCAGCCUAAGGUCAGUUGGACUGUUGACAAUGAGGUACUCAUGGAGAACCGUAGAGUCAGAACUGAAACAAUCAAGGGCCUAACUGCUCUUUCAAUCUCACGUGCAGACCGCAAAGAUUCUGGAUCCUACAAGGUCACAUUGAAAAAUGAAUAUGGCGAUACAUCAUUCAACUUCAAAAUAGUUGUCAUUGACAAACCAACUGCUCCAAGGAACCUAGAUGUGGCAAACAUUGGCGAAGAAGCCAUCACUCUGCAAUGGGACAAACCUAAGGAUGAUGGUGGAUGUGAGAUCAGAGAGUAUGUCAUUGAGAAACGUGAGACAUCUCGUAGAAUCUGGCAGACAGCUGGAAGUACCCAAGAUAACAAGUUCACUGUGACUCGCUUGGCUGAAGGAAACUACAUGUUCCAAGUGGCAGCUGAGAACCAGUGUGGUGUAGGUGAAUUUACUGAAAUCACAGAGCCAGUGUCUCCAAAGGCUAAAUAUGAUGUACCUGAUGCCCCAGCAUCUCCCAAGGUUACUGAGGUAUACAAAGACUCCUGUGUCAUCACAUGGAGGCCCCCCUUUAACGAUGGAGGUGCCCCAGUCCAAGGUUACCACAUUGAACGCCGAGCCACCACCAGCACCAACUGGGUGAAAGCUAGUGUGGAUCUCAUUAGAGACACCAAGUACAUUGUAACUGGACUCCUUGAUGGUACCGACUAUGAGGUAAGAGUGAUUGCAGAGAACAGAGCUGGCAUGAGUAUUCCAAGUGAAGCCUCCAACAGAUUCACUGCUAAAGAUCCAUGGGAUAAACCAGGCAAGCCAAGUGUACCACGUAUCAGUGAAAUCAAGAAGAAAUCAGUGGUUCUUUCCUGGUCUGCACCUGAAUAUGAUGGCGGAAGUGUACCAUUCAAUUACGUCAUUGAUUACCGCAUUGCUGGUGGAUUCAAAUGGAUCAAUGCCAAUGCAGGAGAGAAUGUUCCAGACACCACUUACAAGGUUAUGGACCUAACAGAAGAUCAGGAAUAUGAAUUCCGUGUAGCAGCUGAGAACAAGGCAGGUGUUGGUCCUCCCUCUGAAGUGACACAACCAACCAUUGUGAAGCAACGCUCCAAGGGUAAAGAGCCAACUGUAACUCAAUCUCUCACCAAUGUUACAGUUGAAGCUCCCAGAUCUGCUAUCCUCGAAUGUCGCAUCACUCCCGGUGAACCAGCAGCUGAAAUCCGUUGGUUUAAGAAUGCACGUGAAGUGUACCAUUCUGAUAAAUACUACAUCACAUACAAAGACAAUGUGGCUAGACUUGAGAUUGCUGACACUGAGACAACUGAUGCUGGUAAAUACAGAUGUGAAGCCAGUAAUAUGAUGGGCCGUGUUGACACCAAAGCUACUCUGACAAUGCACACCAAACCUAAACUAGAGUAUGACCAGAACAUGGCUAGGAAGAUAAACACUGUCAAAGCUGGUCAUUCCAUUAUCAUCCAGGUUAACUUUACAGCCAGUCCAGCUGCUAAAGUCCAGUGGUUCCACAAUGAGAAGCCUUUAGAAGGCUCUUACAGAAUAGGCAUAGAUGAAUCUGACUCAUUCUCUAUGCUUAGUGUGAGGAACACAACAAAGGCAGAUACUGGUGUUUACAGAAUUGUUGUCGAAAACCAAGUUGGUAGCGAAAAUGCUGCAUUUGAGUUCCAAGUCCAAGACAAACCCCCUGCACCUGCGUCCAUCCGUGUGUCCAAAAUCCUUGCUGAUUCUGUAGAUUUAGAAUGGGAAGCACCCGAAGGAGACUGCGGAGAUCUUAAAGGUUAUGUGAUUGAGAAACGUGAAGCAAGUCGCAAUGUUUGGACCACAGUUAGUAGUGUCAGAGAGAGGGAGAGAAAUUACACUGUUGAUAGACUCAUGGAGGGUACUGAAUAUUAUUUCAGGGUAUCAGCUGAAAACCAUGUAGGUAUUGGUGAGCCUAUGGAGUUAACCAGACCUGUAUCAGCCAAGUGUCCAUAUCUGGUACCAGAAGCCCCAUCUGGCCUAAAAGUUGAAUCAGUGAGCAGGAGAUCUAUAACACUAUCAUGGAAGAAACCACUUGAUGAUGGUGGUGCACCAAUCAGAGGAUAUAUUCUGGAGCGCAUCACUCCUGGAAGCUACAGAUGGACGAAGGUCUCCAAGACACUCAUUCCUGAGACAGAGUAUACAAUCACUGAUGUCAUGGAAGGUAAUGAGUACCAGUUUAGAGUUAGUGCAGUGAAUGAGGCCGGAGCAAGCAGAUAUUCUGAUGCAACAAAUCUCAUAAAGGCUAAAGAUCCAUUUGAUAAGCCCGAUGCUCCAGGUCAACCUGAUGUUUAUAACAUAACCAGUGAUCAUGCCACUCUAAGAUGGUCUGCACCAUACAGUGAUGGAGGAAGCAAGAUCACAAACUACAUCAUUGAGAUGCGCCUCAUGGGAUCAUUUACAUGGUCUCAAUGCAACAUUGGUGAAACUGUAUCCAACACUACAUACAUUGUACCUAAUCUUAGCAAGGGCAUGGACUAUGAGUUCAGAGUCCUAGCUGAGAACAAGGCUGGAGUUAGUGAACCAUCUCAGACCUCAAAGAGAAUCACAGCCAGGGAGCCACUGGUAGGAGAUGCCCCUAAGGUGAUUGAACCUUUGAAGAAACUGUCUGUCCUUGCUGGUGAGAUGGCCAAACUACACUGCAAGAUUAUUGGCAAACCAACACCAAGCAUAAGGUGGUCCAAGAACCAGAUGGAAGUAUAUGAAACCAAGCGCCAUGAGAUGGUGUAUGAGAAUAACUUUGCUACAUUGAUUAUUGCUGAUGCUAGUCAUAGAGAUGAGGGUACUUACCUAUGUGAAGCCACUAAUCCACUGGGAUACACUUCAACUGAGGCACAACUCUCAAUCAAUAUUCCCCCCACUCUACAGUUUGACUCUAGAAUGAGAGAGGGUAUGACUCUACGUAUUGACUCUACUCUAACUAUACGUGUACGCUACGAGGGUGCUCCUAAGCCUAAAAUCUCCUGGUUCCGUGGAUCUAAGGAGCUUUACGAUGGUGGCCGUGUAAGCAUACAAACAAGUGACAUCUAUAGUACACUCACUAUACAGAGAGCUGCCAAGAAUGACCAAGGAGAUUACAAGGUUGUAGCCAGAAAUGCUGUAGGAGAAACUAAUGCUGUAAUGCCAGUUACAGUCUUGGAGAAACCUGAAGCCCCAUCUGACUUGAAGGUCAUAGACAUUCAACGUGACUCUGUGUCCCUUGAAUGGAGAUCCCCACCAAGUAUAGAUGGCGCUGAGAUCAACCGUUACAUCAUAGAGCGCCGUGAUCGCCAAGGUGGCAACUGGGCAAAGGUUGCUACGGUUGACUCUGCACGUACACGUCACAGAGUUGGAAAUCUCUAUGAGGGCAAUGACUACAUCUUCAGAGUCUUUGCUGAGAACAACAUCGGAUCCAGUGAACCAUUGGAACUCGAUAACUACGUCAAGGCAAAGAGUCCUUACACCUACCCAUCUGAACCAGUUGGUCCUAUAGAAUACAGCAACAUAACAAGCAGCUCAGUGACUCUCAACUGGAGACCACCAAUAAAUGAUGGAGGUUCCCCAGUGACAUUCUACAUCAUAGAGAUGCUAGAGGAUAAGUACAGAACCUGGUAUAGGACUGCAACAGUUGGUGGAGACCAGCUGAAGUGCAAGAUCCAGUACCUGAAGGAAGGAGAUCCAUACAUGUUCAGAGUGUAUGCUGAGAAUGUUGAGGGAGUCAGUGACCCACUUACAUCUCGUAGACCUGCCAUUCCCAGAGGUUCACCAGAGCCGCCAACAACACCUCCAGGCACAAUCCGUAUCACCAAUGUUGGACCUACAAGCUUCGACAUUGACUGGUGGGCACCACCAAUAGACACCAACAUCAAGUCAUACAACAUUGAGAUCAUGGACACAAGAGCUGGUACAUGGGACAAACUGAAGACUGUAGGCAAGAACACAACAAGGUACAGUGUGAGUGGCCUUAGAGAAGGACAUGAGUACCAAGUACGCAUUGCUGCAGUUAAUGAAGCUGGACAGAGCCACUUUAUUGAAUCCGAACCAAUUCAGCCAUCCAAACCAAUUGUACCUCCAAGCAGACCUACUGGUGGCCUUCGUAUCAGUGAGAUCUAUAGAGACUCUGUUGUUAUCCACUGGGACCACCCAGAAGAUGAUGGAGGUGCACCUAUCACUAGCUACCAGAUUGAAAAACGCGAGAGCUGGAGACCAAAUUGGACCAAGGUCAGCAGAGUUGAUGCGGCUGAGACCAUGUAUCAUAUAUCUGACCUGACUGAAGGAAAUGAUUACAUGUUUAGAGUGCUUGGUGUGAACAGAGCUGGUUUUGGUAUCCCUCUUGAAGUGGACAGACCAAUUCUUGUUGCCAGUCCAUUCAACAAACCAUCACCCCCAGUUGGACCCAUCAAGCUAUUAAGUAUUGAUGCCAAUUCAGCUGAGAUAGAAUGGCAGCCACCUAUCAAUGAUGGAGGAACUCCUAUCCAGGCUUACGUCAUUGAAGGAAGGGAGGCAAACCGCUUACAAUGGCAUAAGAUAGCCCAUACUGGGCCAUACAUAACCAGACAUAAAGUGCGUAACCUCCUCGUUGGUAAUGAAUACAACCUGAGAGUAAAAGCAAUCAACAUGGAAGGUGAAAGCAAACCACUUCAAGUUGAACAAACCAUUAUUCCAAGACGUAAAACCGAAGCCCCAACUACUCCAAUGUAUAUCCGUCUUUCCCAGGUGACUGAAGAUAGUGCCACGAUUGAAUGGCGCCACCCUUAUGAUGAUGGUGGCUCUGCAAUUACCGCAUUCCAUAUCGAUGUUAGGCCCGAGGACUCUGAUGUUUGGGAAACUGUUGCAUCAGUUGAUCCAUAUAUAUCUAGAUACACAGUCCAUGGACUUAGAGAAGGUGUUAGGUACUUCUUUUCAGUGAGAGCUGAAAAUGAGGUAGGUGUCAGUGCUCACCGCCAGUCAGAUAGACCCAUUAUACCAACCAGACAGAAGUUCCCACCAUCUAUGCCAAGAGGACCAUUGAAGGUUGUUGAUGUACAGAAGGACUCAGUGAAACUUAGCUGGACUCCACCAGAAGCAGAUGGAGGUGCCCCAGUUACUGGCUACAUCGUAGAAGUCAGAGAAUUCUGGAGUAUUUUCUGGACACCUGUUGAUAGAGUAAGCUCUGGACUCUGCACAUACACAAUGAGAGAUCUUAUUGAAGGAAAUGAUUACUAUUUCCGUGUGCUAGCUGAAAAUGAUGUUGGACUGUCACAUCCCCUUGAACUGGGUGUUGCUGUUACACCAGCCAGUCCAUUCAGCACACCAUAUGCUCCUCGAGGACCAAUCACAUACAACAAUAUUGACAAAACUGUUGUUGAUAUUGCUUGGCAACCACCAAGGGAAGAUGGAGGAAAACCAAUCACCAAGUACCACAUAGAGCGCAGAGAUCGUACUCGUGUGAACUGGGUCCCCGUCGCCACAGUACCAAGAUCUCAGCAUGAAUUGAGGGUUACAAACCUUAUUGAAGGCAGUGAAUAUAUCUUCCGUAUCUGUGCUGAGAAUGAAGAGGGAAAAGGAGAAUACUUGGCCAAUCAUGAACCUAUUGUAUCAAGAAGACCACCAGAGGUACCAGGUCCACCAAGUGGAUUGAAAGCAUUCCGUGUUACACCAAACAAUGUAUCACUAUCUUGGAAUAUUUCAACUGAGGAUGGAGGCAGUCGAAUUCUUGGAUAUUACAUCGAGCAGCGUUCUCAUGGAUCCCAGGAAUGGAUUCGUGUUGGGCGGGUUGGUCCAUAUACCUCUAUGUAUACUGUACCAAACUUGCGCAAUGGACAGCAAUAUCAAUUCAGAGUCUGUGCCAUCAAUGACUGUGGGUUGAGUGAACCAUAUACCAUGGAGAAACCUGUACAGGCUACAAGACCAGAUGAACCUCCAUAUGCUCCUGUUGGACCACUGGAAACUCGUAUAUUCAAAGAGACUGUUGUUAUGAAAUGGCAUCCACCCAAGAUUGAAGGUGGUGCACCAAUUACUGGAUAUGUUGUCGAAAAACAUGACACACAAAUACCUGGAUGGAUUGUGGAGUCUCAACUCCCCAGAGACACAUAUGAAUACAGAUUUAAUACACUAACUAAGGGACAUCAUUACUUCCUCCGUGUAGCUGCAUUGAACAAAUAUGGCACUGGACGAUACUUAGAAAUGACAGACACUGUGUUGGUUGAGAGCCCAUAUAGUAAACCAGGUGCUCCAUCAUUCUUUGAAGUUACUAACAUUCUAGCAGACAGUGUAAGUCUACAAUGGACUCCACCUAGAGAUGAUGGUGGUGCCCCCAUUACACGCUAUGUCAUAGAAAUGCAUGAUAAGCAUAGCCGCAUAUGGAAGCCUGCUGGGUCUGUAGAGGGAUUGACCAGUUAUACUGUACCACAUCUGAGAGAAGGCAAAACAUAUUUCUUCAGAGUGAUUGCUGAGAACCAAGAAGGUCUUGGGGUUCCUCUAGAACUCCAUGAAGCAGUAAGACCUCUUUCACCAACUGCUAUUCCUGGACCACCAUCCUCAUUUGAUUCAAUAGCGAAGACAAAGAAUUCUGUGACAUUAUCCUGGCAGAGACCAUCACAAAGAUCAUCUGCCAGCUUAACUCAUUAUAUCAUAGAGUACAAAGAUGCCAAGGGUGGAACCUGGUUCAAGGCUGCUGAGGUAGAACCACAUACCCAUACCUAUACUGUACAUGACCUAAUUGAAGGAUGGGAGUACAACUUCCGUGUUAUUGCUGUCAACAAAUGGGGAGCUAGUGAGCCAAAAGACUUGGAACACACAGUGCACCCAAGAAAGCCACCAGGACCACCAACUGCACCAUUGCUGCUUGAGGUCCGUAACAUCACAGAGAACAGCAUAACGCUGACAUGGCAGAGACCUAUACAUGAUGGUGGAUGCCCAGUAGAAUCUUAUGUUGUUGAACAAUAUGAUCUUCGUGGAAACACAUGGUCUGUUGUUGAAAACAUUGAACGUAUUGGUGGAGAUGCUGGAAUUCUAGAUCGUGUAUGCCAUAUUCCUGGACUAAAGGAAAACAAGAGAUACUGGUUCCGUAUUAUGGCCAAGAAUGCAAUGGGUCUUAGUCCACCACUUGAGACUGAAGAUCCAGUCAUACCAAAAUCACCAUACAGUGCACCUGAUGAACCUGAUGGCCCAUUGAGAGCUAUGAAGGUGACACGUGAAACUGUGACUCUUCAAUGGCACCCACCUAUAAAUGAUGGUGGUUCACCUGUCUUGAGAUACAUCGUAGAGGGGCGUAUUGUUGGUGAGAGAGAAUGGCGCAAACUUGGUGAAACUGAAGCCAAUGUUACAACAUACAGUGUACAAGGAUUGAAUGAAAAUUCACAAUACUACUUCCAUGUAAUGGCUGAGAAUCAUUAUGGUGUCAGUGAACCACUUGAUACUAAGGAUCCAAUUAUACCAAGGAGACUACUUGAACAAGCCCCAGCAUUUGGAAUAUAUGACGAUGCCCAUGCUAGUUCUGCCCAGCCUACAGAACAUGUACAACGUGGUGACUUCCUUUUCCCACACAAUGGUGUAGGUGAACCAGAGAAGUCUACAGUUUGGGAUGAGAUAGACUCAGGCUGGUUGCAUAGCCAAUUUACAGAAGGAGUAACAGAAACUGAGGAUGAACACCAUCAUCAUCAACGCAAAUGUAAACACAGUACAUGGAAAUACCAUUAUAGAUACUGUGCAUAUGAGAGUAUACCAUACUGGCAACGAGGAGGAGACAAAAAAUAAACAAUAGACAUAAUUAAUAAAUGUAACAAAUGUUGAGUCACAUUGUUAUUGACAGUUUGUAGUGCUUUAAAAUGUGCAGUAUUAUUGUUAUGUAUAGUUUGAAUUUUAUUUAUGUCCAAAUGAGAUUGAAGUUGAUUCUUCAUUUGUCAUAGUUUGUAUAUUAGUACUUUAAUUUAAUGAAUGUAUGUAUGUAACAAUGUGAAUCAUCAUUGUAGGACUAAAUAAUUAGAAAUGAAAUAUCAUUUGUAAGAUAUUGUAAAUUAUAUUUUGUACAUGACUUUUAGAUCUGACUAGAAUUUUGCACUGUAAAUUAGUUUACACAAAUUUUCAAUGAAAUUAUUUAAAUGUGAUUAGUAAUUAGAAUGUUGCUAAAAUGUGUGAAAUGUAAUUAUAGUCAUUCUAUGUAAAUAGUUACAUUGCACAGCAUUUUAUGAGAACAAUGUGAUUAAUGAAAUGAAUGAUCAUUUUGAUGAUUGAUUCAAUGAUUAUAUUCCAAGGGCUUUCAAGACUGGAGUCAUUCAAUAUGACCCAUGAGAAGAUCUGAUAUUAAGGUAUUAAAAUGCUGACUAGCAUAAUACUAAAGACAUUUUGUAUUCAUUAGAGCACAGUCACCCUAUGUAUUGGACAUGUGUGGCAGACUGUGCUCAUGGAUUGACAAUUUAGUAAAGGGAAGUGUCCUGAGGACCCCCUAUUUAUUUAAUAAGGAAGGCUUAUGAGAGGUAAAUGAUGAAAGGGUUGUCAUAAAUUGGCCCCUGUUUAAUAAUUGUUUUGUAAUUGAGGUGCAUAUUUGCAUCCAUGAAAUCUCAGGAAGGAUUUUGUACAAGACACGACGUCCAGAAAAGAGUGAAAUGGCCAUUGGAGUAUGUGUGAACACAGAACAGAAUUCAUGUCUUUAUGAAGCCUAUUCAGUGUUCCCUAUGACCAGUAUAGCCCACUAUAAUGACCAAAUGGCUGGUUGUAUUUUCAAUGCAAUAAUAAUGCUGAAAUUGACAUUCACCAGAUGUGACAGUUAUUAGCAAGUAGAUAAAAUUAAGCCAGUCAAAGACGCUAACAAAGUCAUGCUAAUAAUAAAUCGCUUAAUGAACAAAUAGUGACAAUCAUGAUAAAGACAUAACAUCUUAUAACAUAAAAAGUUUGAAAAGUGUUUUGUGUUAAUUGAGUAAUUCAUACAUAUUUAUUAACUCUUAUAUACAAUUGUGAACGAUAGAAUGAAGUAAAUGUAUGCCCUGUCUAAUGGGAUUAUUUCGGACCCUCAAUUUUUACAUCUUUCGCAUCUGGGGUAUGAUUAUUUGCAGUUUGAUGGGAUCAUGUAACCCUGACGUUUUCGAUUCCCCCACCUAACUACACUUUUCUACUCCAGAUACAUUUUAUUGACAAAUCCCAAAGGACCCCUUAAGGCUCUACCUGCUAUCAACAUAUACAGUGUAUUAUUUUUCUUGAAUAUGGUUCAGUACCAAUUUUGUAUAUUGUGGUAUUUAUUUAUUACAAUGUGAUAUUUUCAAAUAAAAUGUGCAAUAUGUCCUUUCAUAUCCCUUUUGGGAUUCCUUUUUGGAAUUGAAAGCCACAGUUCAUUUUUAGCUUAUGUUUGAAAAGAGUGAAUGUUGAAAUUUUAUAGUGGGUAAAAGCUAGGGAAAAGGGGCAACUUUCGACCCUCACUUAUAAUUUACUUCAUGCUAUCAAUCUGUAAUUGUUUUUUACCUCUCACCCAAAUAUAGUUUGUUAUUUGCUAAUGUAUAUUGUUCACUUAGAUUCAGUCUGGGUGAUGGGUUGAUUAUUUACAUCUUUCCUAUAGAUGCUAUUCUUUUGGUCUAAUAUUAAUGAAAAUAAAAACCUCAGCUUCCUUUA